GGUGGGUUUGGAAACUGGCCUUGUGCAUCUGCAUUCGCAUCUUUCCAUCAGUUCAUUGUCCAUUAUGCCGUGGAAUCCAUGUCAGCUGACCGUGAACUUGCGUCACAUUGGCCAAGAAGAAAAAUACGGGCUCUCCGGAUCGUUCUUCCCUGUGCCAUGCCUCAUCGCGACACCAGCAGGCGAAGCCAAUAGAAAUGCAUCAGCAUUAGUGUUGAACUUCUUGAAAAAUCUUGGAUCUUCAGCAUGGGUGCCAUGAACAACUUUCAACCAGAAGACAUUGAUGAGGAAAAUCAAGUUAGACUUUCGUUUCAGUGAACUGAAAUGGUUUUCCAUAAAUUGAGUUAACAAACCAUGGUUUUAGACCAGCUUCUAAAUUGCGGGUGCCCUCUGCCUUGUCUCCAAGCAAUGUUUGAUUGAGGUGCCUUCUCUGCUUUCCCCGUAGUUGCUUGCAGACCCGUGUAUGCUGACUCCAAUCUCCAGUCAGGCCUCACCUGCUACAUGGAGCAAUUUGACUUGAGGAGCAUCAUAUAGGUAGCUACCAGGCUCCUGUCUACACGGCUGUAGCUGUCGAUUUUAAUCCACUUGUAUCAGCCACAGACGCCCCUGACCCAUGGAUUUCCAGACGUCACUAGACACCACUACCAGUAUUAUGAAGCACUGUGCAUAUCCAGUCUCAUGGCUUAUUCUUACAGUCCGUGCUAUAAUGAGGAUUAUGGAAAUUUCUAAACUCCUCCGUACUUUCAAGCCUGGGAAAUGGACGUAUGUGUGUAGGAGGAACAUCGAGGGAAGGGACUAGUAUAUACACCUAACUGACAAGUUGAAAUCUGCAUAUUGCUGAUGCAUAAAAAUUCUUCCACUGCAAUCACUUCUCUCAAAUUGAUUUCUUAGAAUCUGUGUUGUUAUCAAAAUAUAAUGUCCACACAGAGGGUGGAUAAUUAACCAAACAUGGAUUGUUUUGCUGCACGUGUUUUGUGUGUCCGUGCUUAGCUGGGCUCGUUGACCUGGAAAAGGUUCAUGUUGUCGAAGCUACACGCUUUAGAAACAGCUGUGUGUACGAGUUGGUUUUUAUCGUAUGUUUAUUUUAAUUUAUUGCUGAUCCGUCAUAUGGAACUUGGAUGUGAUGUGUAGGAAAUAGCAUAUCAGGGCAAAAACUAAUUAGAAAAUAAUCAAUUGAAAAAUAAAAACAGAGGAACCUGCACGGAUUCAAGCAAGAUCUUCAGUAAAAUAUCACAGAGGUGACCAAACGUGCUAGAUCUUCUCAAUUUUGCUAAGAAAAUUUGUCAUAGUGUUUCAAGUGGAAGUUUAGGGG